GACGAACGCUGGCGGCGUGCCUAAUACAUGCAAGUAGAACGCUGAAGAGAGGAGCUUGCUCUUCUUGGAUGAGUUGCGAACGGGUGAGUAACGCGUAGGUAACCUGCCUGGUAGCGGGGGAUAACUAUUGGAAACGAUAGCUAAUACCGCAUAAAAUGGAUUAUCGCAUGAUAAUCCAUUGAAAGGUGCAAAUGCAUCACUACCAGAUGGACCUGCGUUGUAUUAGCUAGUUGGUGGGGUAACGGCUCACCAAGGCGACGGUACAUAGUCGACCUGGGAGGGUGAUCGGCCACACUGGGAAUGGGACAAGGCCCAGACUCCCUCGGGAGGCAGCCGUAGGGAAUCUUCGGCAAUGGACGGAAGUCUGAACGAGCAACGCCGGGGGAGUGAAGAAGGUUUUCGGAUCGUAAAGCUCUGUUGUAAGGGAAGAACGAGUGUGAGAGUGGAAAGUUCACGCUGUGACGGUAUCUUACCAGAAAGGGACGGCUAACUACGUG
rnacentral:rRNA from 1 species